rnacentral:rRNA from 1 species
UACGUAGGGGGCAAGCGUUAUCCGGAUUUACUGGGCGUAAAGAGCGCGUAGGCGGUUCCGCAAGUUGGUUGUGAAAGUUCGAGGCUCAACCUCGAAAUUGCUGCCAAAACUGCGGGGCUGGAGUGCAAGAGAGGCAAGUGGAAUUCCCGGUGUAGUAGUGAAAUGCGUAGAUAUCGGGAGGAACACCAGUGGCGAAGGCGGCUUGCUAGCUUGUAACUGACGCUGAGGCGCGAAAGCUAGGGGAGCGAACGGG